CAGCCGCCACGGGAAUACGAAGGGUGCAAGCGUUAAUCGGAAUUACUGGGCGUAAAGCGCGCGUAGGUGGUUUGGUAAGAUGGAUGUGAAAUCCCCGGGCUCAACCUGGGAACUGCAUCCAUAACUGCCUGACUAGAGUACGGUAGAGGGUGGUGGAAUUUCCUGUGUAGCGGUGAAAUGCGUAGAUAUAGGAAGGAACACCAGUGGCGAAGGCGACCACCUGGACUGAUACUGACACUGAGGUGCGAAAGCGUGGGGAGCAAACAGGAUUAGAUACCCCGGUAGUCCCUGUCUCUUAUAC
rnacentral:rRNA from 1 species